UCAGCAAUGGUGUCAGGAGGAGCCCUUCUUCCCAUAGAUGGGGCCUGGAUUCCAGCAAUGAACACCUGAACAAACUGAAAUUCUGGAAGCAAGUAAACCCGGACAGUACUGCCAUCUCGAACCUGCUCAACAAUUCCCUCCAUUGGCUUUCCUUUGUUAGCAGCUAACAAACCCAUGGCAUCCAAGUUGUUGGGAUCACCAAUGGCUGAUGGUGGUAAAUUUCUAAUCGAUGCCUCAGUAGCACCAGGAACCUUGCUCCAACGGCCGAGACCUUGUUGCUUUGCUUGGUCUUCGAGGCGUAGUAGUUCCGCAAGGUAAGGACUCACUUCACCCUUCUGCUGACCUUGCUCCCUUACCUUUGCCCAGCCUUCAGAAACAACAAGUGCUGCAAUAUUCUUGUCACCAAGAA
rnacentral:misc_RNA from 1 species